UACGUAGGGGGCAAGCGUUGUCCGGAAUCAUUGGGCGUAAGGAGCGUGUAGGCGGCUUGGUAAGUCCGCUGUGAAAGUCCAGGGCUCAACCCUGGAAUGCCGGUGGAAACUGUCAAGCUUGAGUCCGGAAGAGGCGAGUGGAAUUCCUGGUGUAGCGGUGAAAUGCGCAGAUAUCAGGAGGAACACCAAUGGCGAAGGCAGCUCGCUGGGACGGUACUGACGCUGAGGAGCGAAAGCAUGGGGAGCGAACAGG
rnacentral:rRNA from 1 species